rnacentral:lncRNA from 1 species
AUUGAAAACAUACCAUGAUGUACUUUUGUGAUUAUCUUUAUCUCCUCCCUAGUUGCUGUCAUUGUAACUAAUUAAAAUUUAUUCUUAAUCUCUCGUAAUGAAUCCUAUGAUCAAUAGUACCAACAACAUAACGAAUGAUUAUUUUACGGAAAAAGAUACUUGUACAACAUUUGAGGGCUGUAAAAAUUUAAGCUCUCUCACAUGUGUGGGAUCUGCAAUUAUUUUAAUCAUGGCCCCAUCCUUUAUAUGUGAGAGGACUGCUCUUGGAGUUUGUUUCAAUUCAUACAAUGUUUUUUUUUAAAGGAUAAACCUUGUGUUGGUUGUUCGACGUAGACCUCUUCUUCUAGGAAGCCAUUAAGAAAAGCCAAUUUCACAUCCAUUUGAUGCACCUUCCAACCUAUUUAAGCUACUAAUAAAAAAAAUAGAUGAACUAUUUCCAAACAAGUUAUAGGAGGAAAAAUUUAUUUAAAUUCAACAUCGAACUUCUGCUUGUAACCUUUAACAAGAUGUCUUGUUUUGUUUUUG